rnacentral:rRNA from 1 species
GACGAACCGUGCGAACGUUGUUCGGAAUCACUGGGCAUAAAGGGCGCGUAGGCGGCUUAUCAAGUCAGGGGUGAAAUCCGGCAGCUUAACUGUCGAAGUGCCCUUGAUACUGACGAGCUCGAGGGAGAUAGGGGUGUGUGGAACUUCCGGUGGAGCGGUGAAAUGCGUUGAUAUCGGAAGGAACGCCGGUGGCGAAAGCGACACACUGGAUCUCUUCUGACGCUGAGGCGCGAAAGCCAGGGGAGCAAACGGG